UGGCGGCAGGCCUAACACAUGCAAGUCGAGCGGCAGCGGGUCCUUCGGGAUGCCGGCGAGCGGCGGACGGGUGAGUAAUGCCUAGGAAUCUGCCUGAUAGUGGGGGAUAACGUUCGGAAACGGACGCUAAUACCGCAUACGUCCUACGGGAGAAAGCGGGGGAUCUUCGGACCUCGCGCUAUCAGAUGAGCCUAGGUCGGAUUAGCUAGUUGGUGAGGUAAUGGCUCACCAAGGCGACGAUCCGUAACUGGUCUGAGAGGAUGAUCAGUCACACUGGAACUGAGACACGGUCCAGACUCCUACGGGAGGCAGCAGUGGGGAAUAUUGGACAAUGGGCGAAAGCCUGAUCCAGCCAUGCCGCGUGUGUGAAGAAGGUCUUCGGAUUGUAAAGCACUUUAAGUUGGGAGGAAGGGCAGUAAGCUAAUAUCUUGCUGUUUUGACGUUACCAACAGAAUAAGCACCGGCUAACUUCGUGCCAGCAGCCGCGGUAAUACGAAGGGUGCAAGCGUUAAUCGGAAUUACUGGGCGUAAAGCGCGCGUAGGUGGUUCAGCAAGUUGGAUGUGAAAGCCCCGGGCUCAACCUGGGAACUGCAUCCAAAACUACUGAGCUAGAGUACGGUAGAGGGUGGUGGAAUUUCCUGUGUAGCGGUGAAAUGCGUAGAUAUAGGAAGGAAC
rnacentral:rRNA from 1 species